rnacentral:ncRNA from 1 species
UUGAGCCGUAUGCGGGGAAACUCGCACGUACGGUUCUUAGGGGGGAAUAGCCCAGUGAUGGGCUGUUCCUACCCGAU